AUACAUGCAAGUCGAGCGGACAGAUGGGAGCUUGCUCCCUGAUGUUAGCGGCGGACGGGUGAGUAACACGUGGGUAACCUGCCUGUAAGACUGGGAUAACUCCGGGAAACCGGGGCUAAUACCGGAUGCUUGUUUGAACCGCAUGGUUCAAACAUAAAAGGUGGCUUCGGCUACCACUUACAGAUGGACCCGCGGCGCAUUAGCUAGUUGGUGAGGUAAUGGCUCACCAAGGCAACGAUGCGUAGCCGACCUGAGAGGGUGAUCGGCCACACUGGGACUGAGACACGGCCCAGACUCCUACGGGAGGCAGCAGUAGGGAAUCUUCCGCAAUGGACGAAAGUCUGACGGAGCAACGCCGCGUGAGUGAUGAAGGUUUUCGGAUCGUAAAGCUCUGUUGUUAGGGAAGAACAAGUGCCGUUCAAAUAGGGCGGCACCUUGACGGUACCUAACCAGAAAGCCACGGCUAACUACGUGCCAGCAGCCGCGGUAAUACGUAGGUGGCAAGCGUUGUCCGGAAUUAUUGGGCGUAAAGGGCUCGCAGGCGGUUUCUUAAGUCUGAUGUGAAAGCCCCCGGCUCAACCGGGGAGGGUCAUUGGAAACUGGGGAACUUGAGUGCAGAAGAGGAGAGUGGAAUUCCACGUGUAGCGGUGAAAUGCGUAGAGAUGUGGAGGAACACCAGUGGCGAAGGCGACUCUCUGGUC
rnacentral:rRNA from 1 species